rnacentral:lncRNA from 1 species
AACAUCCAUAAUCACCUUUUCUUAUUCACACCAAAUAAAGAUACGAGAAACUUUAAAUAUCAUCCAUGUGGUUUCGUACUUUUUCAUUUUGAUAUUAUGUGGUUUAAAGUGUAUCGAUUUAGUACUCCGUGGUUUUAUUUUUCUCUAUUUAUUAUCUAUUUCACUAAUUUUUUUUCGUUAAAUUCAUAAUAAAGUUAAAACUAAAAGGUACUAAAGUGAAUAUUCGAUAAACCUAGGUGGGGUAUCUGAGAAAAUAGAAAAAUAAAAUCACAGAGUACUAAAUUGAUACACUUUAAACUACAAGAUACUAAAGUGAGAAACUAUACGGGUGGUAUUUGAAGUUUGCCCUAAAGAUAUAUUUCGACUUAGUCCUAAUGCCUUUUAAUCGAACACUUUAGUUCUGAACUUUUACAUACAUCGUAGUUUAGAUUCCAACGACGCAAAUGUAAUUUUUAUACUAAUACUUC